rnacentral:lncRNA from 1 species
UUCUUCACUAUUUAAUUCAUUUUAAAAUCCAUCAGUGGUUUUAUGUGUAGGUAGAACUUCCCCUUUAUUGGCGGAUGUUUUAAUUUCUAGCAAGUUGGUUUCAGUGUGUACAUAUCUCUACUUUGUAUUUUGCACUAACCCCUUAAAACCGAGCCCUUCUGUCUCAGCAUGCCAACCUCUCUCCCACAACCUCCAUGUCCCAUCUCAUUAUAUUCCUACGCAUCCUGUUUUACAAUGGCUUCAGACAUGUUUCUUCUGCUUUGAACCCCCCUUCCACUUCUUAGUCUGACUAUCCCUAAGUAUCAAUUUAAGUAUCAAUUUAUUCCUAAGUUUCAAUUUAAGUAACUUCUAACUGCAAAGCUUUCCUUGAACAGCCUAAAUUUUGCCUAUAAUCCUUCUAGAAUUUUGUAGAUAGAUCCAUCAUUAGUAAACAAUGGUGUGAUUGUUGUUUGUUGUACAAAUCAUCCCUGAGUCCUUUUACCACUGCAGUGAAUGGUUUAGCUAUUUCCUUCCUCCAAUAGAUGAGGAAUCUCUCCAAAGCAAUGACAGUUUCUUUUGCUUCCUAGUACAGUGUCUGACAUAAUCCAUGAACGAACAAAAAGUCAGUUUCAGUUCUACUAACAAUUCUAGGUAACUGGUGUGGGUGCCAGGAACACUUGUGGAGGAAGAAUCUCAUAUCAAGCCUGUUCUGGAAGUAAAGAAUUCCAUGAUCAAUUGGUGAUGUCUGCCAUGGACAUAGAAAACCGGAAGUGACAGUACAGGUGCUUCUCAUGUACUUCUUUAUAAAGGCACUUUGUAACUGUCUGUUCUGAGAAUGAAAACAUAAACAAAACUAACAGUAAUAGCACCUGAAAUGUAUCUAACAGUGUUAGAUAAAAUAUCUUUCACCAACUCUCAGAGCCUCUGGUAUAAAGGAUACAAAACAGGAGUUCCUGUCAUGGCUCAGUGGAAACGAAUCUGACUAGCAUCCAUGAGGAUGCAGGUUCAUUCCCUGGCCUUGCUCAGUGGAUUAAGGAUCUGGCGUUGCCAUGAACUGUGGUGUAGGUUGCAGACGUGGCUCGGAUCUGACGUGGCUGUGGCAUCAGCUACUGGCUACAGCUCAGAUUCGACCCCUAUAUGCUGCAGGAACCUGGGAACCUCCAUAUGCCGCAGGUGGGGCCCUAAAAAGACAAAUAAAUAAUAAAAAUAAUGGAUACCAAACAUACUGAAUUCCUCUUAUCUCCAUUUUAUUUUAGUUUUGGAUGUAGGCAUUCGUUUCCCUUAGAAGGGAAUCUGAGGCUCAGAGUCCAUACAGACAUGAUAGGUAUACAUAAGACAAGUUCUAUCUCCAUAGAAUCAAGUAUUCAGAGAGUCCUCUUUCUUCACUGACUUGACUAACAGAUUUUACACAGCCUGAAGAUUACAUGGCCAGUCAGAAAGUCUGCUUGGAUGCCUCGAUAUCUGCUUGAUAGAGGGACCACAUAAUUUUUAAUUCACACUGGAACCUUUUUGAGAAUGAAUGUGGUGAUAUUAAUAAUUACACUGCAACGAGAGAUGUAAAUUCUGGGAAAUCUGGGAAUGUAUAGUUACCCUAACCUAUGGAACCACGAUUCUCAUUCUCAAAUGGGACAUACUGACUUGUUUGCUUUAUAGAGACCUAAGACUGUAAUUUCCAGUGGAUUAUCUAUGGCUUCUUGGGGCACUUACAAGAAGGCUUCUCAGCCUGUUUCUAGGCUUUACAGAAAAGGACGUGCUGAUCUAAUGGUGAUGCCUGGUGGCUGACAGAUAUGAAGGAAACAGCAAACAAUGGCAUGAGUGCCACACGUUUAUAACUCCUGAACUAGAACUGAGAAUCCAUAGCUGAGUUAGACACUAGUUUCUAAGAAAUGAUCCCUUCCUCAAUAACAACUCCCUUUCCAUUGUUGGUGCCUUGAUUCCUUUUGUAAGGCUCCAGAUUCCUAACUAAUUAGGCUAUUUGUAAUUAAGAUGUCUAGCUAACUUUAUGGUCCAACUUGAGAUUGUCUGGACUUAAGAUUUAUCACCUGCUUCUAAUUCUAGCUGUGCCUGUCAGGAUCUACAUUCUUUUUCCCUCCAUAAUGUCAUAACUGUGGGCUUUUUUGUAGCAUUACUUCCACAAUUUUAUAGUAGCAAUUCUACUAAUUGUAGAGAGAUAGCUCUACUAGUUGUAGAACUAGUCUUUUGGUCUUAGUGACCAGACUUUGUUAUGCAGUGCAUGGUUAUGGUUUCUUGUCUUUUAUAUCCUUUGGCCUUCAUCUCCAAGCUUCUCAGCUAUGACCAGUUUCUCCCUGGCACCUAUCACUGCCUAAAUCCCAAGUACUUAUGUAACAGUUAAUCUCAAAAUCUAACUUCUAAGUCAGUGUUCUUCCCAGAGCCUGUGGUUCUGUUUCCAAAAUGAACAAUAAAUUAUGAGUGAUAACAGGUAAUUUUAAGGAUUCUUGGAAAUAAAGUUACCCGGGAGAGUACCUCAAUUAUCAAUUUUGUUUUGGCACAGAAAAUAAGAGCCUGAAUGAUCGUCACCAAAUCCCUCAAAGUAGUGUUUAUAAACCUUUUAAAAUGUUUAUUAAAUAGAGAUUAUAAUAAUGGCAAAUCCUAGUGAGUACUUUGAAAAAUAACACAAAAUGAAAAUGGCUUGCUUUAUUAACACUACAUGAUAAAUACCUAACUCCAUUAUAGGGUUGUACUAAAUAUCAAAUGAAGUAAUAAAUAACACAGCUCUUAGAAAAUACAAAGUCUAUUCUUAGUAUGAUUUAAGUAUCAGGUAUGCAAGAAAUGGCUUUUGUAUUAUUUUCCUUAAUUAAUCUACUUCUAACUUUAAGACCCAAUUCCACCAUAAUUUCAAGGAUUCCUGUAGCCUCCCCAAACUGUAACCAGAGAUGGAGAGGUUUAAAUCUUCCUAAAGACAGGGAAGAGGCUGUCGUUCCCAGCUAACAUGGUCACGUCUGACUUUUUUUUUUCCCACUAUCCAAGAGAUGCUCUUGAGGUCAGUUGCUCUCACAUGCUUGUCUGACGUUAUUAGGGAACCUGGGUGUAGUCACCCUUCCCUGUAUCCACUGCACUCUUUGGAGCUUUCAGUACCUAGUGUUGAAUUCUGGAUUCAUCCUGACUCUCCAGCAUUCACCUGGGGACCAAGGCUCUGGUUCCACUGCUCUGGGACCCACUGUCAAUGAGACUUUCCCCUCAAUUAUCCAUGUAAACUCAGAAACUAAAGCCAGGAGGGCUUUCACUCUUCUCUUGCCUUACCAUAUUCGUCUCUGAAGGGAUGAACCUGAGCCACAGAGUCUGUUACCUCCUAGAAUGGAAAGCAUGGGUACAAAACAGAAGGGAAACAGGGGGGAAAUAAUAUUUUAAAAACAUAUAUUUUAUGCAGAUGUUCAUAAAAGGCUUUAUAUUACUGAUGACCAGUUGAGGAAAGAAAGUAGCUUUGACUUCCUAUAAAGGAUAUUUUUAGCUCUUAAGAAGGGGAGGAAGGAAGCUUACUCUGUGCUUUUGACUCCAGCUUCAGCGUCACACUGGCAGAGAGGAGAGGACUUGUACUUUCUUUCUUCUCCCCUCUUCUCCUCUUACAGAGCACCCUGACGAUGGCAGAGGGACAGCUGUCAGGGCUGGGGCUUGAGCACCUCAGCAGCUGGCAGGCACAGGGAGAUAAGGUACAGCUAGUACUCACAGCCUCUUCUACUGCAACCACCCAUCCUAAACUAAGCAUUAGGCACACCCUUAGGGGUUGUGUAAGCAUUUGGUGAUGAAUUCCUUUAACUGGCCCUUGGCCAACAUGAUAAAGCCAAAACUAUAAAACUCACAAAAGUACUGCAAUAGGACAGAAUCCACAUUCUUUCUAGACAGAGAAUGUUGAAAACUGCAUAUAUACCAUCCUUUGGGGAUUUCGUUGUUUAGGAACAUAAUUCCCUAGGUUAAUUUUUUCCCCCAUAGGAGACUAUUUUAAAGUGAGUGCAAAAAAAAGUUUUUUACAGUGUAUAUUACCUCUCUAGUUUUCGUAUUAUUUGUUAGAAUAGGAUACUCCUCUCAGCAAACCACCUCCAUGUUUUACGGCAACAUAUCUAUUGAGGCUCAUAAAUGCAGUUAAGACCAAUAAUUAGCAAAUGCAAUAUUUUAUGACUAUGCAUUUCCUUAAACAGGUGACUCUUAAGUACUGCUCUUAUUAUCACACCUGAUCACACAAUAAAAAUAUAAUUUCAUUUUACUGAAAUGUUUGAUUUAUGCAGGUCUUUUACGUCAUGCCAAGAAUAAAGGAUAAUUAAGAUUUCACUCAAUAAUCAUUUAUCAGAAAAGCUAUAUUGAAGACAAAAAAAUGCAUUGAACUUGAAGUUUUCUGGGAAAAGAACAUGUAAACAAUGCAUUUGCAAUCUGUAUUUUCUUGUCAACAGUGUUCUGGACUUGGUAACCUGUAUGCAUUUCCUAUACAAGAAGUUAAAGUGUGUGUCCUUGUGUCUUACCUCCUGCUUGGAGCCUUUGAAGUGUCAUACCAUCCCUGAAUUAUCACCUGCUUAAUAAAGCCAGUUUUAAACCAUGAAAUGGCUUAUGAGCUGCUAUGUGUUACAUAACAUUUCCAAUGGUUACUGUAGCAACAUUUUGUCCUGUACAGCAUUUCAGUCCCAUGUGAAGUAGACUGUAUUGUUAUAGGAUGCUUUGUCCCAUAGUAAUGACCGCAGUGAAGCUUAAGAGUUUCAAACACUGACUCCCCACUCCCUUUUGUCCUACCUGAAAGGCACCUACCAAGCCCAUUUUCUCCUUUCAUUUAAGAUUAAAAGGAAGGACGCUCUGAAGAGGUUCGUCUGCUGUGCAACAGCGACCCCUACAGGCGAAAUGCCUUGGUGGUGCUAAAACCUCCCAAAAUUCCAUGUUUCUGCUUCAAAUCAAGUCCCACUUUAUCAUGGGAGUCAUCACAACAUUAAUCCAGAACUGCGUUUACUUUGAGAACAUGGGAUAUUUGUGAUUCCCAAAAACCAAAGUCCAAAGCUUUAGGAGCUUUACUACUUACUCUCCACCUCACACAAGUCUUUGUCUUCUCUUUGUACCAUGUAAGGGAAUCGUGAUUGAGUUGCUUUCUAUUCAUCAGCAAGUCAACGUAAUAGCAUAUUUGUGCAUAGUCAGAACACAACGCCUUUGAUUUUCUCUUUUUUUGAGCAGAGAAAACGCUCGGAAAAUAAGUUAAAAUAUCAGGAAGGAAGAAAAAAAAUCCUAGCGCACUUGCUUUUCUGGGUUUGCAAAUGUGUGUAGCUCAGGCACCCGAUGAUUCAUCCCCUGAAAGUCUGAGCACUCCAUUUGUUUUGUAGAUUUCACUACCCCCUUUGUUCUGCUUCAAACCUUUCAGAGGACUGAAAUGCAUUAUUACCUUGUUAAAUCUCAACCGAAAUCGCUUCUACAGCCUGAAGCUGUUUUGACGUGGGUUGAGCAUCUCACACACAAAAGAAUUGCUUUUGUUCCCAGAAGCUCUCAUUGGCUAAGUGGCCUUUGUACCGAGCCAAUCAGAAGCUAGUUGUUAGGCUUCGCUGGCUAUUUUUAGCCUCACUCGCAAAAAUACUUGGUCUUGGAGAAGGUAGGCUGCAGAAUGAAAGUAGCAUGUUAAAGCAAACAGCUAAAUACAUUUUGCAUGUCGAGGCAUGUCUGGCAUUUUUUUUUUAAUUUUUCAUGCGUUGUUAUAUUAGCAUGUGUUUCUGUAAACAAUAAAUUUAGGAAUAGAACUGCAUUUUCAGUUAAGAAUUUUUCUUUUAGCAAAGAGGCACUAAGUCUAAGAAAGAGUCAGUAUUGCUUUUUUUAUCCAAAAGCAUCUGGUUUCACAAACUCACAAAAACGCCAGUUACAUAUAGGGAAUACUAAGGGUUCUUUUUUUUUUUUUUUUAAGAAUUUCUAUGAAUUUCCAUUUUGAGUUAAUAGAAAUUUUCAAUGACUUGUUAAUCAUGAAUUAUAAAGUCACAAAAUCAUUCUCUUGCUUGACCUUUAAAGAUCUAUAUAAUUCUCCAAACAGGUAUGCACAUGGUGUGUAGCAAUUAAAAUCAUAAAUAUUCAGUAUGUUUUAUGCACAGUGAUAAAGCAUUCUCUUGAUCGUGUUCUUUCAUUUGAGCCAUUACUCAGUAGACACAAGAAGUAUUCUCCCCAAAUGCUCUUGAAGUGACAAAGCAUUAGAACACACAAUUUGUUAAUUAUCCAAUAUUAUUAGGAAAUGAAAGUUACCAAAUGAGAAAAGUUGGGCCCUGAACUUUGGUUUUCCAUCAGCCGCCUGUUUCACUGGGCAAAAAGGAGGCAGAGUCGAAUUGAACCAAAGUUUCAUAACUUAAAGCAUUUUAUUUGCAGGAAGAGAGCCCUCUUCCUGGGGGGAGGUGGGGUAAGAGCAAAUCUAUGUCUAAUUAGUAAAAACAUUUUCAGGUUAUAGAUUUUCCCAGUAUUUGGGAAUCUCAGGUUGGGAUUGUGACCUCAUUUGCUGUGGCUUCCUUGCUUGUUUUAAGAAAAAAAUCCCUGGAAUUCCCGUCGUGGCUCAGUGGUUAACAAAUCCGACUAGGAACCACGAGGUUUUGGGUUCAAUCCGUGGCCUUGCUCCGUGGGUUAAGGAUUUGGCGUUGCCAUGAGCUGUGGUGUAGGUUGCAGACUCGGCUUGGAUCUGGCGUUGCUGUGGCUGUGGUGUAGGCCAGCAGCUACAGCUCCGAUUAGACCCCUAGCCUGGGAAUCUCCAUAUGCCCUGGGAAGCAGCUCUAGAAAUGGCAAAAAGA